rnacentral:rRNA from 1 species
AUGCACGCUGACAGAAUGCUUCACACAUGCAAGUCGAUGGGGAAGUGGUGCUUGCACCAUGGUAACCAUGGCGGACGGGUGGGUAACGCGUAAGGAACUUACCUGCGGGACCGGGAUAACAGCAGGAAACUGCUGACAAGACCGGAUAAGGUCAUUAAGCUGCAUAGCUUAGUGAUGAAAGGAGACGCCUGCGGAGAGCCUUGCGUCCUAUUAGCUAGUUGGAGGGGUAACGGCCCACCAAGGCGAAGAUAGGUAGCCGGCCUGAGAGGGUGGACGGCCACAAGGGGACUGAGAUACGGCCCUUACUCCUACGGGAGGCAGCAGUGGGGAAUAUUGGACAAUGGGGGCAACCCUGAUCCAGCAAUUCUGUGUGCACGAAGACGGUUUUCGGAUUGUAAAGUGCUUUCAGCAGGGAAGAAGGAAGUGACGGUACCUGCAGAAGAAGCGACGGCUAAAUACGUG